rnacentral:rRNA from 1 species
AUUGAACGCUGGCGGCAGGCUUAACACAUGCAAGUCGAGCGGAGAGAGGUAGCUUGCUACUGAUCUUAGCGGCGGACGGGUGAGUAAUGCUUAGGAAUCUGCCUAUUAGUGGGGGACAACAUUUCGAAAGGAAUGCUAAUACCGCAUACGUCCUACGGGAGAAAGCAGGGGAUCUUCGGACCUUGCGCUAAUAGAUGAGCCUAAGUCGGAUUAGCUAGUUGGUGGGGUAAAGGCCUACCAAGGCGACGAUCUGUAGCGGGUCUGAGAGGAUGAUCCGCCACACUGGGACUGAGACACGGCCCAGACUCCUACGGGAGGCAGCAGUGGGGAAUAUUGGACAAUGGGCGGAAGCCUGAUCCAGCCAUGCCGCGUGUGCGAAGAGGGCCUUAUGGUUGUAAAGCACUUUAAGCGAGGAGGAGGCUACUUUAGUUAAUACCUAGAGAUAGUGGACGUUACUCGCAGAAUAAGCACCGGCUAACUCUGUGCCAGCCGCCGCCGUAAAAC